UCAUUGUUUGAAGCUGUUGGCCCUUGG
rnacentral:piRNA from 1 species